CUGAGGUCCAUACAACUAGACGCAUAGGAGUGGUCUGACUUCAACAAUAUUACUUCUGUCAGUAAAUACUUAUCAGCAUGAGCAACAGAUGGAUAUUGCACAAUGUAGCCCACGGUGGAAUCCCUGGUUCCUGGAGGCUGUCCAUACCACAGUAACCCUGUAGCUUAGAAACCAUCUCAGUGAAAAUCCCACCUUAACUGAUACGUGUCUGCAAGCAAUGUUGUUAUAGCUAUGUUGGUCCCAGGAUAUUAGAGAGAAAAGAAUUCAGUGCAAUAAAAGAGAUAUUACCUCACCCAUCUAUGGGCAUGUCUACACUAACAGCCGGACCGAUUGCUCUAGCAUCGACUCCAGUACUCCAUCUCAACCAGAAGUGCAAGGGGAAUCGACGGGACAGCAUCUCCUGUCAGCACACCUGAGUGAAGACACUGCAGUCCAGCUGAAACUCAAGAAAGAAUACUUAUUCCUGUGCAUAGAUUCUGAAGAUGAAUCAAGGCUGACAUCCAUGGAGAAUAACAAUUUCCAGUCUAAAGAUGAGGAAAGAGAGAGAUUGCUUCAAGAAAAAGUCCAACAAGUGACAGUGACAAGUUGGUUGGAAGAUUUGAAAGAGUAAGCAUGACUUCCUCUGAUGAUUCAUUGAAAAAUCACCUAGCACAUCACAGCUGAAGAGAAGACUACAAUGUAUAGUUCCUAAACUUCUUCCAGAAUUUUUACCACUACUAUUGCUGAA